rnacentral:lncRNA from 1 species
AGCGGCUGCGUGUCUCUUCGUGCCUGGGUUCGGGCGCGGCGAGUGCUUGCUGUGUGGGAUGAGAACCUUGUGAAGAACUGAAGUAAUUUUGUGGUGCCAUAUUUGCCAUCAGCUUUUCAACCCCAAGAGACAAGUAUGAGGUGGUGCCAGCUUCCAGAUGAAGACAGCCAUCCUCCCCUCAGUCACACUGCAGUGGAGCACAGCAGAGGAUGCCCAACAACUUCUCCUGGCUGCAUGCUACAGUCCUUCUUCAGAGAUCCAUUGGCAAUCUUUUCUCAUGAUUCACAUUCCUCCCCAUAAAGGUGUAUCUCCAGUUUGAGAACUGUUGCCAGGAGCAUUCUGUAUUGGGCAGAGGAUUUCAUUCUGCAUUCCUGGAAGGUGAAAUGAAUUAUAAUAUGGAGGGCCGGAAGGCAUCUUCAAAGACAUCAUCGUUGACAGCACUCUCAUAAGCAGGUGGUGGAGUGAGUGGCUCCAGUGGUUCAAACCUGUCUUCAACACCUUUCACUUCAUGGAUAUCUGAAACAAACCGCUGCAGUCUUGGGGGCAACACCAGCUGCAACUGCAUCCUGGGUCCUGUGUCUGUCUCAGAAGUGUGCAUUGUGUCUGAUGCCACUGGCACCCUGAGAGCCUCCACCAUCAUCUCUUCCUGGGUGGAUGAUUCAGUAACUACGUUGUAAGGAGGAGGCUCAUUCAGUGGUGAGGGUACUAAGCCUGGAUUGGAUGCAGUUGUCCAUAUUGCUGGAACUGACACGGUCAUCACUUCCUCAUAGGUGGGCGCUUCGUAGGCAGCGUUCACCCUAUGCACAAAAAGAGGAAUGGCAGUUACAGUGAUUAUUUUACUGCUUAGUUUAUGCAGAAGCAGGUGGUCCUACAGAUAAUGUACUAUUGGGACCAAUCAACAGAUGGGGAUGAGACAGUAUAUCUCACAUGGGAUUACUGUAUGUGAUAUUCUGCCACUGGAUCAGCUCACUUGUACAGCUAACUUAGUAUCUUGCUUCAUAGUCUAGAGAAUGGCUCAUCCAUUCUCAUCCACACUCUCCAGAAUAAGUGAGGAGACCCACACUGUUCAUUGGUGGCCUAGGUUUGGCUUGAUAUCCUUCAUUUUAAAUCUCCUACCAGUUAACAUUUAUUAUUAAGAAUUACUACUAAGUAUUUCUUGGAAUAAAACAGGAC